GGGAUCUCCUGCCCAGGCUCAGGCCUGCGCGCCCCUGUGCCAAGGUCCGGGGCUCCGUGCGGCUCCCGGGCGCCCGGCUCCACGCGCCCGGAGGCCAUGCAGGGCGCGGCCCCACCCGGGAGCGACACUCGAGCGCGGGAGAGCCAAGUCCCCGCGCGACCACAGAGGCGCUCCAGGCCCGGCAGGGGCAGAGGAGCUGCAGGGAGGGCGCAGGACGACCCCGAGGUCACCGACGGCCCGGAGCGCGGAACCCGGGAGGCCCUUUAGGGGAAGCGCCGGGAAGCUGGGAAACAAGUUGCUGCCCGCACGUCCUCCCUGCCCGCGGGAUCCGCGCUCCGGGCUGUGCGCCCCUCUGUCCGCCCUCCAGGCCCGGCCAUCCCCCUGUCUCUGCUCUUCUUUCCUCUCUUUCCCUUUCCUUUCCUUGCCCUUUCUUUCUCUUUCUUCCUUUCCCUCCCCCUCUGACUUUCUGUCUUCCUUCCUUCCUGUCGUUCUUUUGUUUUUCCGUCUUUUUCUGUCUAAUUCUCAGAGUGAAGGAGCACGGUCUGGUCAGUCUUGGAAGUUCGCCCAGCCACCCGCUGCCAUCACCCGUCUCUCCAUCUCUGCAGGGGCAGGGCGGAGGGGGCGGGAAGCCCCCCAGCACCCCUUUUUCUACCAAGGGCAGAGACAGGCCUGCAGAGCAGGCAGAGCAGACAGCAGGUGCAGUAUGACCCUGCCACCCCACCCCCAUGCCGUCUCCCCCCCAAAAACCCACCCACAGCCUUCUCCCUGCAGUGUGCUGAGUGCUGAGGCCUAAGGUUCCCCAAAUAGGGAUUGAUCAUCUUUGGCUUAAAAGCUUUGUCUUCUGUUUAAAUGCCUGUAAUUAACGCAGGGGAGUGGUAACACUCAGGAACUUUGGAAUGCCUCAGUCCCUCCUGGAAAGAAGGAUUUGGGAGUGGGGUGAGAGAAGACCGCCUCGGGGCCCGGGAGCUGAUGCACUAGGAUUCUGCGAAAGCCGGGUGGUCAGGUCUGGUGACAGGCCACUCCUCAACAACCCUGCCGAAACACUGGGCCCCGGAGGCACUGCUCUUUCAAAAUCUGCGCUGUAACAAAUGGAGGGGCAUUAACUGGGCUGGGAAGAUGAGCACAUCACGUUGAAGGCCGUGGGAUGGAUUUGCAAAUGCAAAUCCAGGUGCCCACUGGGGAAGUCCACAGCCUGGUGCGUACCAGUUUCUCUGGGUCAGGAAUCUGGCCACAGCUUCAUUGGGGGUCUCUGGCAAGGCUGCACCCCAGGGGUCCACCGUGGCUGAGUUCUUACCUGAGGAGCUUCAUCCAGGGAAGGAACUGCUUCCGAGCUCACGGGUGUGGUGGCUGCGCUCAGUAUUUCAAAGCUAGAGGAAUCCAGAGAGUAUUAGGCUCCAUCCUCCAUCAACGCAAACCCUCUCCUUUUGCCGGACACGGUGCCUCCCCCAGUGGGGUGGUGUGAGCAGGUCCCCGCCGCUCUCCUGGCUGCAUUGUCUUCACCAGCCUCGCCUCUCCCAGGCCCCUUCUCUCUUCGACAUGGCAUCACCCACCCCCCCGCUGCUUGCAGAGACCCCCAUUUCCUUCACUUCCCUUCCUGCCUGAGAGUGGAGACGGCUGCUCCUUCUCUGCUGUGUCUCAGACACUUAUUUCUGUACCCCAACUUCCUUCAGCUCCCCUGCUGCUCAAGGUUAUGAGAAACUAACCCAGAUAUCCUGAAUGCUUCCUGUCUUCCACCUGCCAUGUCACCUCCAGAGUCCAGGAGCAGACGCCAGCUGGAAGCUUGAAUCGGGAGAUGGAGAAGCAGAAUAAGGCAAAGGGGGAAGGAAAAUGCAGUUAAAUAUCUCAAAAAUACUGUGCCUCCACAAAUCCAAAAUCUCUGUGAAUAGUGAUUAUUCCCAUUUUUGAAGAUAGGAAAUUGAAGUUGCAAAUGGCUAAGCGACUUAUCCAAGGUGGUACAACCAGCAAGCAGCAGGGCAGAACCCACACUGAGGUGGACUCGGAUACUGACCUGUGUCUCCAAGCCAGGAACCUCAUCCUGCACUGAUGCAAUUGGUUAUCUGAAUCCUUAGUCAGAGAGCCAAGUAAAUCUUAUUUGUUGCAUUCAAUCCAGAGUAUCAGUUUAUAGAAAUCCACUUGAAAUUUGAUUCCUUCAUCAAUCUCCUUAGGAAUCUUUUCCAGUUUUCAUUAUAUGCGAAUUUUAUCAAGCUGUUCCCUAUAUUUGGGUCAUACAGGACAGGACUGACCUGAGCAAAGCCCCUGUGCAAUCCCAAAUAAGAGUCCUGCCCCCCACCGACAUGGACACUGACCUGAUAAGAGUUAGGGGGUGGGGGUAGGGGAAUAUCAGUGCCUUUUCCCCAACUGCAGCUGCCAAACUAUCACAAAGGAUGACGUAAGUUUGGAAAUUCAUAUAGUGUUUAUCAUCUCCUGAUCUACUCAUGUAGACAUUGUCAGUAUCAACCCAGAACAUGAGUUUGAGGACAGGAUUUGUCUUGAAGAGCUCCUGCUGGCUCUUCCUCAUAAACUCAUUCUUUUCCAAGUGUCUGUGCUGUAACCCAUCCUUUACAACAUCAAGGAGAAGAAUCAAAAUUGCUAGAUUCCACUUCCCAUAACUCUUCCUUCCCAAUGAGAAAAUCAGAACAAAUUACAUAUUUGAAUGUCAGCGUGACAUAUACUUAGAGCCCAGUUCUUCCAGUUGGGCAGUGAGUGUAGCCUGCUGUGAAGGCCAUGCACUGGAGGUCCUUAGGCUUUCAUGUAUAAUAAAAAUAUUUAUACCAACGUUUUUAGUGCUUCCUGUGUGCAUGGACCUUUAUUACAACAAUUGCACAUGGCCCCUCCUUUGAGCUUCACGACAACCCUGCAGUUACAGAGAUGUGGGCUAGAAGAGUUUAGGCAACCAGGAUUUAAACUCCGUUCUUCCUGAUUGCAAGACCCAAACUCUUUACCAACCAAUGGAAGGUCCGAGAGGACAGUCUGGUCAUAGGAAAGGCAAUAAAAAAGAAUGUGGAAUGAGGAAACACGAACAUAACAGGUUUUUCUGCUGUUGCGUGAUCCUGCUUUCAAAAGCACUCCAGUUACUCUCCAGAUGUGUGGGAAUCAAUGAGUGUUUCUAAGAAUCGAAGUGUGUGUGCACAUUGUUUAUGUAACCUACAGCUUCACAAAUUUGGAAACCCUCCUGAAUUAUAAAGGAAAAUCAAGUAUAGUAACUCCCUGGGAAGAAAUGAAGGAGUGAGAUCUAGGUUCAUCCAAGUCAUCAUUAAUCUCCUGGCUGUUCAUUCAUUCAGCAAGUAAACGUAACCGCGGGUGUAGGCAGCAGUGAGU